GGUGCGGUAGUUCAGAUGGUUAGAACAUCGGCCUGUCACGCCGGGGGUCACGGGUUCAAGUCCCGUCCGCACCG
rnacentral:tRNA from 1 species